rnacentral:rRNA from 1 species
AUUGAACGCUGGCGGCAGGCCUAACACAUGCAAGUCGAGCGGAUGAAGGGAGCUUGCUCCUGGAUUCAGCGGCGGACGGGUGAGUAAUGCCUAGGAAUCUGCCUGGUAGUGGGGGAUAACGUCCGGAAACGGGCGCUAAUACCGCAUACGUCCUGAGGGAGAAAGUGGGGGAUCUUCGGACCUCACGCUAUCAGAUGAGCCUAGGUCGGAUUAGCUAGUUGGUGGGGUAAAGGCCUACCAAGGCGACGAUCCGUAACUGGUCUGAGAGGAUGAUCAGUCACACUGGAACUGAGACACGGUCCAGACUCCUACGGGAGGCAGCAGUGGGGAAUAUUGGACAAUGGGCGAAAGCCUGAUCCAGCCAUGCCGCGUGUGUGAAGAAGGUCUUCGGAUUGUAAAGCACUGUAAGUUGGGAGGAAGGGCAGUAAGUUAAAACCUUGCUGUUUUGACGUUACCAACAGAAUAAGCACCGGCUAACUUCGUG